rnacentral:rRNA from 1 species
GAUGAACGCUGGCGGCGUGCCUAAUACAUGCAAGUCGAGCGAACGGACGAGAAGCUUGCUUCUCUGAUGUUAGCGGCGGACGGGUGAGUAACACGUGGAUAACCUACCUAUAAGACUGGGAUAACUUCGGGAAACCGGAGCUAAUACCGGAUAAUAUUUUGAACCUCAUGGUUCAAAAGUGAAAGACGGUCUUGCUGUCACUUAUAGAUUGAUCCGCCCUGCAUUAGCUAGUUGGUAAGGUAACGGCUUACCAAGGCAACGAUGCAUAGCCGACCUGAGCGGGUGGUCGGCCACACUGGAACUGAGACACGGUCCAGACUCCGACGGGAGGCAGCAGUAGGGAAUCUUCCGCAAUGGGCGAAAGCCGGACGGAGCAACGCCGCGUGAGUGAUGAAGGUCUUCGGAUCGUAAAACUCUGUUAUUAGGGAAGAACAUAUGUGUAAGUAACUGUGCACAUCUUGACGGUACCUAAUCAGAAAGCCACGGCUAACUACGUG